GAUGAACGCUGGCGGCGUGCUUAACACAUGCAAGUCGAACGAAGCACUUUAUUUGAUUUCCUUCGGGAUUGAUUAUUUUGUGACUGAGUGGCGGACGGGUGAGUAACGCGUGGGUAACCUGCCUUGUACAGGGGGAUAACAGUUGGAAACGGCUGCUAAUACCGCAUAAGCGCACAGUAUCGCAUGAUGCAGUGUGAAAAACUCCGGUGGUAUAAGAUGGACCCGCGUUGGAUUAGCUAGUUGGUGAGGUUACGGCCCACCAAGGCGACGAUCCAUAGCCGACCUGAGAGGGUGACCGGCCACAUUGGGACUGAGCCACGGCCCAAACUCCUACGGGAGGCAGCAGUGGGGAAUAUUGCACAAUGGGCGAAAGCCUGAUGCAGCGACGCCGCGUGAGUGAAGAAGUAUUUCGGUAUGUAAAGCUCUAUCAGCAGGGAAGAUAUUGACGGUACCUGACUAAGAAGCACCGGCUAAAUACGUGCCAGCAGCCGCCGUAA
rnacentral:rRNA from 1 species